CAGUCCCGAUGCCGACGCCGAGCGCCUGACCGCCUGACCGCCUGACUAGGCCUCCAUCUCGAUGGUCUCCGUGGUGAUUUGAUUCAGGAGCUGACACAACUAAAUAUCCUUCCAGCAAUGAUUUUGUGGCCUUGGGAGUUACUGUCAGAAAGGAUGCCAUGGGGAAAGCCAUCCUGGAGGUUUGUGAGGAAAUUAUUGAAGACACAAGGGAAGAUAUUGUGGCUGAUGAUGUAACUAAGAUGUUAUUUUUAGACGAGUUACCGGAAUACCAUUCUACCACAUGAACAUGAAUAAGGUACUAUGCUUCCUCGGUGUUCAUUUGAUAGCCUUUUCUUUCCAGCAAUAACUUGCAGGGUUAUGGAUGGAAGCAAGAUAUACAUUUCAUAUUUCUAGAUUCAGUGGGAUGCUUGCCAGAAUUUUGUUGUACAUGAUCGUUACUUGACUCUAUUUGAUGGCCAUUACAAUGAUACUUGUGGUUUAUUAGUUCUGUUUUAAGUUAAAAAAAAUCCUCAAAUCAAAAGCUGGCGGUGCCAUCCACUGAUAUACUUGAAUCUAGGCUUAAAUUAUUUUAAAGGAUCAACUGAAUAUUUCAUAGAUGUUGUGAUAGUUUUCCUAUAGUUGUAACCUCUUUUGGGAAACAUGUUUCUUUUUGUAGAUUCUAAUUAUUGCAAGGAAGUUUUAUCAAUUUUAUAAGAUAUUACCCCAAUUGUGAUUGAGCAGUCCAAGAUAUAUAAGAAUUGAUUUUGUGUUUUAUUUACCCUGUUAUCUUAUGAGUUCUGAACGCUGAUUAAUUUGCUCUGUAGGUUUUGCGCAGAAAGCACACCAAUAGGUUCUGAUACGGUUGACAAGAAACAACUAUUUACUUAUUCCAAAAUAUAUCUCUUGCAUGCGAGGCUAAAUGGAAUCACUCAGAUGGAAGUAGAAUAAUAUUUCAAUUUAAAGUAUCUUAGAGAAAUAAGUCCAGCACUGUCCAGGUGUUAUAAUGCUAGGUCUAAUGCAAUUUCAGCUCCUUGUAUAUCCACUUCUUGUAGAAACAACGCUCUAUGAGCUUUGUGAAACCUUCUUGACUUGCCUCCAUAUUAACCAUUGUUUAAGGAGAUUACAGUGUUAGUAAUAUGCAUUUUUCUUGUGAAAGUUCUGGAGAAUUAGUUCUGUUAGAUAGAAGAAGACAAUGGUACUUAAUUCAAAUGUUGUAUCAAUUUUCAUUCAGUGCGUACUAACUGCAAGCGAUGUUUGAAACCAAACUAAGGUAAAACCAACUGUUACUUUAUACUUCUAUUGUGUGUUCGUGCUGAUUACUCAAAGGACUAUUGGUGCUUGCCGAUUUCUCAAUCAAAUGGGUAUAAGGAUAUCUUCUAAAUAAGAGUAGCAUAAGUUAAUUUGAAUAUCAUAUAAUUAUUUUUUGUCAAGUUACAGGGACUGAAAGGUUUGUUUUGUCAUUUCUAUUUCCAGUAACGACGACACUUCUAACAACUAACAAGAAAGACAAAUUGGACUGUUUUCACUUUUGACUUCACUCUUCACUAGCAGAAGUGUGAAAUGUGAAGUUCUACGUAAUGAAAAUCAAUCUUGAGUGCAACAUGAUGAAAAAAUAGAAUCUGUUCUAGCAGAGCAUGGCUCAGAUGCCUAAUAGAAAAAUAGAAGAUGACACCAAAUACAAUUAGUCUGUCUAUCUUUGCUGGACAAAGUAACCCAUAAUAUAGACAAGUAUUUUUGGCACUUUUCUCUUAGGCAACUACCAAGGAAGAUAUGUUUGAUGUUUUGCAACUAGCAUGGUACUAUGUUCAACCUGAUGGCUGUUGUUUCAUCUCAAACAAUAUAUUUUAUUCUGAGUAGAAUGUUUAUCAAAUUUGUCACUGGUUUGUACUGAGUAUACUGUAAUUGGCUGUUUCAAAAGGGUGCUCUUACAAUCUAGGUAUUGCUACCAUUUUACCACAUGAAAAAAAGUCUUUCUCUUUAAUUCAUGUAUACUCUUGGCACUGAUCAAGUUAUCUAAUAGUUUUUUUAAUUUAAAUUUUAUAUUAAUAAUAAAAAUUAUGGAACAACCAAUAAUAUGGUGUACGUGUGUGUGGGCAUAUUUGAUGAUUAAAUAACCAUUGAAAUAUCUCUUGGAUCCUUGACGUUCGUGUUCUUCUCUGAUGCCAACAUGAACAAAUAUAUGUUCAAGCGAUCACUCUUGUGGAAUGGUUGAUUGGUUGGUGCACCAGGGCUCCGAGGGAAAGGGCAAUCUGUGACAGAUUCAAAAAGCCGAUCCAUUGUGUGGUGACCGGCUGACACACUGAACGAAGAUCGUUUUCAAGGUUGGUGUGAAGGAGUGCCCGGUUCGCUUCAAACAUUAGGUAAGUUGGUCUAUGUGAUGCUUAAUUACAGCAAACAAGAUUUGCUUUGAUUUCGGUAAGUAUAUACAGAAAACUUUCAGAUACGGAGUAUGUAAAUAGACUUGGUCUGUAUGCUCAAUUACUUUUUGUGCUGAUUUUUUUUUUUUGAGAAAUUUUGAGUCGAUUAGCUUGUGAGCAGUUGUUCAAACUGCUUUUUGUUUCCUAUGAAUAUUGAUUUCAGGUUGCAUAUGUAAGACUGUACUUUGCUAUCAUGUUGCGUGUACAAGAAGAAACUCGAAUUUGGUUGUCCGGUACUUAUGGUCAGAAUCAGCAUGCCUAAAGUCACAUUAAGUUUGUGCAUCAGUUUGGUUGAUUUCCAUAGCUAAAUAUCUCAUCUCGGGCACCCUGUGUUGGUCAAAUCCAGUGAACAAUCGCUGCUAACUGCAAGGAGAUCCACUUUGUUGCUGAUCCGUUCAUGGCGGAAGCCUAUGCUUUGCGGAAAGGACUGAGCCUUGCCCAGUUUUUAGGAUGCAACAAAAUCAUUAUUCAAUCUGAUAAUUCUCAGGUAAUUGAUACGGAGUACUAUGAAGGAGGGUGGAUUUUCUGAUACCUCUUCGGCAGCUAUCUUUGAUGAUUCUAGACUCCUCGCGACUGGGUUUAGAGAGAUCGCCUUCGAACAUUGCAAUCGGGAGG